rnacentral:rRNA from 1 species
UACAGAGGUGGCAAGCGUUGUUCGGAAUUACUGGGCGUAAAGGGCGCGUAGGCGGCUCGACAAGUCCCGCGUGAAAGCCCCCGGCUCAACUGGGGAACUGCGCGGGAAACUGUCGGUCUUGAGUUCGGGAGAGGGAAGCGGAAUUCCGGGUGUAGCGGUGAAAUGCGUAGAUAUCCGGAGGCACACCUGUUACUAAUGCGGCUUCCUGUCCCGACACUUACGCUCAUUCUCUAAAGCUAGGGGAUCAAACGGC